rnacentral:lncRNA from 1 species
ACCAGUUAUCAUUAUAUACCUCUUCUUGCCGAUCUAGUUUUAUUAUUAGAAAAUUUCAUUUAAGUCACAUUCUCCACAUUUUCUCCCGCACAAGUCCAUCCUGUUUUUUUACCCAGAUAAGUCCACUUUUCUUUCUCAAAUUAUUUCAUCCUGACUAUUUUACCUCUGUACUAAAAAUCUAUCCCUCUCACACACCUCUCUCUCUCCCUCUCCUUUCUCUUUCUGCCUUUCGCUCGACUUCUCUCUCCUUAUUCUUCCACCUCCGAUUCCGACGACGUCGCCGCCGCACACCUCUCUUUCUCUCUCUCAAACAUACGAUGGUCAACCGAGACGGUGGCUCCGCCGUGCUCAAGGACACCGCAACGGCGAUCUUUGCAUCUGCGUGAUCCAUAAAGUUGACGCCGACGAUCUGGAUCUCAACAAUGAUGUGGAUGAUCUAAUCCGGUAGGCAGCGAUGGCCUCGACGAAGAAGGUUUGGUUGAGAGGCACACCGGUCAAGGAGAACGACGUCAAUCUCGGGGAAGGCCUCAACGUCGUCGCUACGUUUAGUCCUAUGGGAUCUCGGAUAUGCCGACCUAACGAGGUGUCCUUCGAUCUCGGAAAUGCAGACCUAGCGAGGCAUCCUUCAUCAUCUCCAAUCAGUCGCGUUCGAUCGUAUUUCUGAUCGGUCAAACGCUGAGGAAUUUCGUGACUCAUCAUCCGCAGUGAGCGAAGACGGGAGCUCCGUCGACGGAGCGACGUCUUUUCUGUCGUCGUCGGCCGCCGGAUCCGAUCUGCAAUUCUCUUGAUUUCCUUUUAUGCUUAAGCUUUAAUCUUCUAAUAAUUGUUUGUUUGUUUUUAUUGGUUGAGUAAAUAUCUUGUAGUAGUUUUUGUCAGUGACAGCAGUAGCUUUUGUUAGUUAGAGUAGUAUUUUUUGUUGGUAACGGUAGUAGCUUAUAUUGAUGGAGGCAAUAGCUUUUAUGUCUGGCAGUAGUAGUUUUUGUAUAUAGGGGUAGUAGCUUUUGUUUAUGUUGGUAAUAGCUUUUGUUUAUGUUGGUAAUAGCUUUUGUUUAUGUCGGUAAUAACUUUUGUUAUGGUGGUAGCUUUUGUAUAUAGGGGUAGUAGCUUUUGUUUAUGUUGGUGGUAGCUUUUGUUUAUCUCGGUAGUAGCUUUUGUUGGUAGCGGUAUGUUGGUAGCGGUGGUAGCGGUAGUAGCUUUUGUAGGCGGUGAUAGUAGCUUUUGUGGCUGAUGAUAGUAUUUUUUGUGUUCGUCGGAAACCUCACAAUAGUAGCUUUUGUAGGCGGUGAUAGUAGCUUUUGUAGCUGGUGGUAGUAGCUUUUGUGGCUGAUGCUAGUAGUUUUUGUGUUCGUCGAAAACCUCACAGUAGUAGCUUUUGUAGGCGGUGGUAGUAGCUUUUGUAGCUUGUGGUAGUAGUUUUUGUGGCUAGUGGUAGUAGCUUUUGUGUUCAUCGGAAACCUCACAGUAGUAUCUUUUGUAGGCGGUGGUAGUAGCUUUUGUAGCUGGUGGUAGUAGCUUUUAUAGCUGGUAGUAGUAAUUUUUGUCAUCGUCGGAAGUCGACCGGAAACCUCGCCGGAGGUCAGUCGGAAAUCUCGCCGGACGUCGGCCGGAAACCUCGCCGGAGGUCCGCCUGAACCCUCGCCGGAGGUCUGCUGGAAAUCUCGCUGGAGGUCCGCCGGAGACUGUUCCGAAAUGAGAGUGGUUGUUGACUUUUUAUACUAGUGGCAUUCUUGUAAAUAUAAGGGAGAAAAUCUAAUUUUUUUUGUUGGAUGGCAGUCUGUAAUUAUGUUGAACUUCAAUACUUAAUACAAAACCUUAUUUAGACUUGGGUGGACUUAUAUGAGUAAAAAUAUUAUGGUGGAUCUAUGUGGGAAAAAUAUCUCAAAGUGGACUUAUAUGUAAUUGGCCCUUUUAUUAUUCCAAAUGGCGCUAAGAGUUUUUAUUUGGAGAGUUUGUCAUAAUAUAUCCUCCCUUCCUUAAGGAAAGAUUGGCAGCAAAGAUGGUUCAAAAUUCAAAUAGUAUCGUAAUCUAAUCUUCACGACUUCACCUUCUGUUACUAAAUAAGUGCUGCAUAUAGUCAUGGCACAUUGAAUCAUGUUUGUUUUAGUCCUCACACAAACCAAGUGUUUGUGACUUGGAGGAUGUAGUACUGUGUUAUCCAAGUUGAGUGGGAUCAAUUUGUUUACUCCGGGGUGUUUGGAAUGAGAGAAACUAUCCGAGUUUGGGAGGAGAAGACGUGCUCUUCCAGAGAUGUUGUAUUGAAGGCUACAAGCCUACAAUAGCAUUUCAAUUUAUGCAAAAGUUCCAUGUUCUCAGAGAAAUGGAAGCCUCCAUCACCUGGCCUAUUGAAAAUAUAUAUAGAUGGUGCGUUUAAUCACACCACUACUGCUGGAGGUAUCUCUGCUUUGUAACAGUAUAAUCUCUAUUCUUACUAAAAAAAAAAUAAAAAAAUAUAAAAAAA